AAGGAAAUAACCUCAUCGCUUUCUAUGCCAAAUGCGGCCCAGCCCUGCUCAACCUGUUCUCAUUAUCUUAAUUCCCAGGAAUCUUUCUUGCAAAUCAGUCCAGGGAGUUCAUUUGUUUUUCACCAUAGAUAAAGUUGUUUGUUCAUUUGUUUAGGUCGUAGCUCAAGGAGAGUUGUAUGUCCUCUCUCUCUCUGCGUUUUCAGGCUGGAAUCAUUGACAGCAGCUAGAGUCUCAGGACAUGAAUGUCCACUGAAGCGAAUGUCUUGGAGGGGUUGGUAGAACGUUGUUUUGUUGAUGAAGAGAAGAAUAAUGUCUGUAUGUGGGAUGACGGGACCAGGGCUUGGUCUGUCUGUGUUCCUGUUGGCUCUGCUUCAUCUUCAAUGCUCAGCCCUGAACAACUACACUACGCUCCCAAAUAACGUAUCAGUGGCUGUUGGCAAGCCUGCUGCCUUUCAGUGUGGUGUGUCCCCUCCUCCUAGACAACUCAACUUCACUCUCUAUGGUAGCCAUAGAAACAUAACCCUCAUCUGCCCAGGAGACCACACUGAGUAUCUGGCUGCCCAGUCAAUAAAAGGGUACUGUGAUAACACAGGUAAGGAGCUCUUUGCAAUAUGGCUUAUCAGUGGGACAUCCCGCUCUGACAACCACACACGUGUGGUAUGUGAGAGCUCAGGACGACCACUAGUGGAUGGAUACCUCUGGGUGUACGAGGACGGCAGUUACUUUGCCACCCUCAUUGGCUGCGUCAUUGGUGGUUUCUUUGGUAUCCUCAUCGUCUUUGGUCUGUCAUACACUGUGCUCAGGAGAUCUGAGAGGUUCCAGCUCUGUUUCAGGGGGAAAGAUCGUGAGGAUGACGUCACCACAAUGGUGACAAAGGAUUAAACACACACCUUGCAAUACUGUUGGAUUUACUUAUUCAACUUCUUAAAGUCGCAGUUCUACUAUUUGUCCAACAGAGAGCAGCCAUGACAGUACAGAAACUGAAGUUCAAUUAUGCUGGGAUACUACUAAAGCGUUUUUAAUAAUGUACUAUAAUUGUGCGUCUCUGACUUUUCCUCUACUCCGGAAUACUGAAGUUUAUGUUAAUUUUUUAUACUGCGCUUUAUAGCUCCAUUAAUUGUUUUACAGUUAUGCUGGCAGCCAGCUAACACCUGUUUUCACUGCAUAAACAAUAGAGAGCAGGACGUCUGAGUAGCUGUCUAAAGUGUUCCAGUGGAGGAUCAGUAGAGGUGGUGCGAUGUUGACUCAGCUGGCCUGCUAUGCUCUGGCAUGACUCUGACACGGACACAACUCACAUCACUUCAAAUCCCACAAUAUGCAUUGCUAAUUUGUUUAGAAUUACAUACAUUCUUUGAGAUGUAUUUAUAUUUUUAUGCAUGCUCCCCAUCUUCAGAGUGGCUUGUCAGAGGAUAUGGUCAAAUGCUCAAAGGCCCUUAGAUGGUUUGUUUAGUGACAAAUAUGCCUCCUAACAAGUAAGAGUACUGUACGUUUUGAGUGUUCCAGCACGAGCGUGCUUGUGUCAGUGCAUGCAGGCAUACUUACAUACCACACUUUUGUUUAAGUCUAAGCUAUGCACCGGAGUUGUGUCAGUGCAUGCAGGCAUACUUACAUACCAUACUUUUGUUUAAGUCUAAGCUAUGCACCGGAGUUGUGUCAGUGCAUGCAGGCAUACUUACAUACCAUACUUUUGUUUAAGUCUAAGCUAUGCACCGGAGUUGUGUCAGUGCAUGCAGGCAUACUUACAUACCACACUUUUGUUUAAGUCUAAGCUAUGCACCGGAGUUGUGUCAGUGCAUGCAGGCAUACUUACAUACCACACUUUUGUUUAAGUCUAAGCUAUGCACCGGAGUUGUGUCAGUGCAUGCAGGCAUACUUACAUACCACACUUUUGUUUAAGUCUAAGCUAUGCACCGGAGCUGUGUCAGUGAUGAUGCAUUCAUAUUAUAUUAAUACAGUGUGUUCCAUUUGUAUUGGGGCAGUGAAACUUGUUGUUUUGGCUCU
ensembl:lncRNA